UAUUUUUUAGUUUUCAUCGGACACAACAUAUUUAUUUGUAUGUGAUGCUGAAGAUCGAACCCAGGCUGCAUGCAUGCCAGGCGAGAGUGCUACUGCUUGAGCCACAUCCCCAGCCCUAUACAGUUUUUAAUAGGAAUUUACUGCUUAGUUUUAAAAGAUUAUCAUUUAUUCUGUUGUAACAAACCAAUUUCUUAAUGUUAAUUUAAAAUAUAAUGGGAAAGAUGGUUUUUCAAAAUAAAGUAUUAAUCUAGAAAUUAAGAUUUUUGAGCAAGUGAUUUAAAUGUUUACUUUCUCCUCUGUAGCAUAGAAAUAUAUGGAGAGCAUGAAACAAGAUAAUCUGAGAAAGGAUCUAGUCCAUGCAAACUAAUAGCUGUGCAAUAUAAAAAAAAAUUAGCGGGCUGGGAUGUAGCUCAGUGGCAAAGCGUCUGCCUUGCAUUCGCAAAGCCCUGGGUUUGACCCCCAGUUCCAAAAAAGACAAAAAAAGAACCCCACAAAAAAAAAAAUAAGAUUAAAAAAAAUUAGCUACCUUAAAAAUUUAUAUAGAUAUAUAAAGCUUAAUAUAAUUGAAAGUUACUUUAGAUUUAAUCAUUGUACAGAAUUAAAGGCAACAUAGCUUAGAAUAGUGGUUAUUUUAAUUUUCAUACAAAUCCAAAACAUUCCUUGGCCCUGGAAUUACUUGUCAUAUAAUUGCAAUUCAUAGUCAGAAGUUCCUAAAGUCUUCACAGUGGAUUUUUCUGAUGAGACUUGACUGUUGAAGUUGGCUAACAAGUUGCUGACAUCCAGGCAGGCAUUCUCUUCUGUAAAGUCGUCUUCAUAAGCCCCUACAAGCCAGCCAUUUCACUAGGCUUGAAAAUGCUGAUUCAAAAUACACACUUUAACCCUCAAAUAUACAAGAAUGUUACUAGGUAAUUCAAUAUGUGUUAACUUUGUUUUCCUUACAGUUCUCAGACAUUCAGAGAAGUGAUUACAGAGUAUGUUUGCUUUUCAUUUUGGGGUUUUUUAUGAUUUUUUUAUUUAUUUAUUUUCAUUACAAUUUGAAUCUUGGCACCCUUGGAGAGAACUUAUUGCCUCGGGACCUUCUCACUGCAUCUUCCUCCACCACGUCCGCAGACUUGUCUCUCUCAGUAGAGGAUGACAGUGCUCAAAAUUAUCCCAGUUUCAGAGUUUCUAGAACCAUACUAUACAGAGUACUUUGAAAUGCAACUUGGCCAAAUGAAGAGUGUGUUUUCAGCGGACACAACAUCUUUGUAUGUGGUGCUGAGGAUCGAACCCCG